AUGAUGGCAGAACUUGGGCUGAAGGAAGAAGAUCUUGAUGAUGUGAUCUUUGAUGAGAAAGAUGCGCCUCCACAGGGACCUAGAUGGAUUGCUCUGGCUAGGGUAAACACCUCCAAAUCAUACAGUCAGACGUGGUUCUACAGAAACAUGCAGUCAGCAUGGAAUAUAGCGCAGGAGGCCAAGUUUAAGCCCUUGGAAGAUAAUCUAUACUCAGUUCAACUGUCUUGUUUAGGAGAUUGGGAGAGAGUUAUGCAUGAGGGACCUUGGAAUUUCCGAGGGGAUGCAAUGCUUCUUGCGCCGACGAUUGACAUAUGGAUCCAGAUACAUGAUGUUCCAAAUCUGUUUGCUCACCUGGUUACUCCACUAGCCGCAAAGGUGGGGGGAGUGCUAUUCACAGAACAACCGUCUCAUGAUUUUGUUGGGAACUUCCAUAGGGUGUGGAUUCGGCUGAAUGUGUUUAAACCCCUGAAGAACGCUGUGUCUAUGAUCAGAGGGGGGGGGGAGACAGAUCUAUAG
rnacentral:rRNA from 1 species